UGACGUAGGGUGCGAGCGUUGUCCGGAAUUACUGGGCGUAAAGAGCUCGUAGGCGGUCUGUUGCGUCGGCUGUGAAAACCCGGGGCUCAACUCCGGGCCUGCAGCCGAUACGGGCAGACUAGAGUUCGGCAGGGGAGACUGGAAUUCCUGGUGUAGCGGUGAAAUGGCGCAGAUAUCAGGAGGAACACCGGUGGCGAAGGCGGCGUGCUGGACCCGAUCUGACGCUGAGGCGCGACAGCGUGGGGAGCGAACAGG
rnacentral:rRNA from 1 species